rnacentral:rRNA from 1 species
GACGAACGCUGGCGGCGUGCUUAACACAUGCAAGUCGAACGGAAAGGCCCUGCUCUUGUGGGGUGCUCGAGUGGCGAACGGGUGAGUAACACGUGAGUAACCUGCCCUUGACUUUCGGAGAACUUCAGGAGACUGGGGCUAUUACCGGAUAGGAGCUCCUGCUGCACGGGGGGGGUUGGAAAGUUUCGGCGGUUCGGGAUGGACUCGCGGCUUAUCAGCUUGUUGGGGGGGUAGUGGCUGACCAAGGCUUUGAAGGGUAGCCGGCCUGAGAGGGUGACCGGCCACAAUGGGACUGAGAUACGGCCCAGACUCCAACGGGAGGCAGCAGUGGGGAACAUUGCGCAAUGGGCGGAAGCCUGAUGCAGCAGCGCCGCGUGCGGGAUGACGGCCUUCGGGUUGUAAACCGCUUUCGCCGGUGACGAAGCGUGAGUGACGGUAAUGGGUAAAGAAGCAACGGCUAACUACGUG